AUACGUAGGGGACGAGCGUUGUCCGGAAUUACUGGGCGUAAAGGGCGCGCAGGCGGUAUAUCAAGUCAGCUGUCAAAGACUGGGGCUCAACCCUGGUAUGCGGUUGAAACUGAUAUGCUGGAGUGCUGUAGAGGCAAGUGGAAUUCCCAGUGUAGCGGUGAAAUGCGUAGAUAUUGGUAAGAACACCGGUAGCGAAGGCGCCCAGCUGGGCAGCAAAAGACCCGGAGGCGCGAAAGCCAUGGGAGCAAACGGGAUUAGAUACCCCGGUAGUACUGGCCGUAAACGAUGAAUGCUAGGUGCGUGUGUAGAGAUCCAUGCGUGCCGGAGUUAACGCGAUAAGCAUUCCGCCUGGGGAGUCCGGUAGUACGAUUGCAACUCAAAUGAAUCGACGGGG
rnacentral:rRNA from 1 species